UAACGCGAUAAGUCGACCGCCUGGGGAGUACGGCCGCAAGGUUAAAACUCAAAUGAAUUGACGGGGGCCCGCACAAGCGGUGGAGCAUGUGGUUUAAUUCGAUGCAACGCGAAGAACCUUACCUACUCUUGACAUCCUGCGAAUUUGGUAGAGAUACCUUAGUGCCUUCGGGAACGCAGAGACAGGUGCUGCAUGGCUGUCGUCAGCUCGUGUUGUGAAAUGUUGGGUUAAGUCCCGUAACGAGCGCAACCCUUGUCCUUAUUUGCCAGCGCGUAAUGGCGGGAACUCUAAGGAGACUGCCGGUGACAAACCGGAGGAAGGUGGGGACGACGUCAAGUCAUCAUGGCCCUUACGAGUAGGGCUACACACGUGCUACAAUGGUCGGUACAAAGGGUUGCCAACUCGCGAGAGUGAGCCAAUCCCGAAAAGCCGAUCUCAGUCCGGAUCGGAGUCUGCAACUCGACUCCGUGAAGUCGGAAUCGCUAGUAAUCGUGGAUCAGAAUGCCACGGUGAAUACGUUCCCGGGCCUUGUACACACCGCCCGUCACACC
rnacentral:rRNA from 1 species